UCCGCCGGAAGUGCCGCGGGCCCUCUCAGCCGCUGCUGCCGCUCAUAUGACAGUUAUAAGCCAGCUUGCCCGUGAAAAGUUCGGCUUUGUGGAAGAAGUAGCUGUGUUUUUGUUUCAGUCUCAAUGCUGCUCCAGGUGUUUGUGUAUCACUUUCGGACCAGAAUUGUUGAGUUUUUCUGUCCCGGACGUUAUUUCUCCAUUGCGGUGCCAUGGCGGAACCACUUCUUCACUUCAGCAAGCGCCUGAGUCCCAGUUGAUAUUCCAAACUAAGUCUGAGUGCAAAGACGAAAAUACACACUGCUGCAGCAUACAGCAACAUACAAAACAUUCAGGC